rnacentral:rRNA from 1 species
AGAGUUUGAUCCUGGCUCAGGAUGAACGCUGGCGGCGUGCUUAACACAUGCAAGUCGAACGAAGCACUUAUCUUUGAAUCUUCGGAUGAAGAGGUUUGUGACUGAGUGGCGGACGGGUGAGUAACGCGUGGGUAACCUGCCUCAUACAGGGGGAUAACAGUUAGAAAUGACUGCUAAUACCGCAUAAGACCACGGAGCCGCAUGGCUCAGUGGGAAAAACUCCGGUGGUAUGAGAUGGACCCGCGUCUGAUUAGGUAGUUGGUGGGGUAACGGCCUACCAAGCCAACGAUCAGUAGCCGACCUGAGAGGGUGACCGGCCACAUUGGGACUGAGACACGGCCCAAACUCCUACGGGAGGCAGCAGUGGGGAAUAUUGCACAAUGGGGGAAACCCUGAUGCAGCGACGCCGCGUGAGCGAAGAAGUAUUUCGGUAUGUAAAGCUCUAUCAGCAGGGAAGAAAAUGACGGUACCUGACUAAGAAGCACCGGCUAAAUACGUGCCAGCAGCCGCGGUAAUACGUAUGGUGCAAGCGUUAUCCGGAUUUACUGGGUGUAAAGGGAGCGUAGACGGCUGUGUAAGUCUGAAGUGAAAGCCCGGGGCUCAACCCCGGGACUGCUUUGGAAACUAUGCAGCUAGAGUGUCGGAGAGGUAAGUGGAAUUCCCAGUGUAGCGGUGAAAUGCGUAGAUAUUGGGAGGAACACCAGUGGCGAAGGCGGCUUACUGGACGAUGACUGACGUUGAGGCUCGAAAGCGUGGGGAGCAAACAGGAUUAGAUACCCUGGUAGUCCACGCCGUAAACGAUGACUACUAGGUGUCGGGGAGCAAAGCUCUUCGGUGCCGCAGCAAACGCAAUAAGUAGUCCACCUGGGGAGUACGUUCGCAAGAAUGAAACUCAAAGGAAUUGACGGGGACCCGCACAAGCGGUGGAGCAUGUGGUUUAAUUCGAAGCAACGCGAAGAACCUUACCUGCUCUUGACAUCCCGGGUGACCGGCGGUGUAAUGAACGCCUUUUUCUUCGGAACACCGGUGACAGGUGGGUGCAUGGUUGUCCUCCAGCUCGGGUCUUGGAAAUGUUGGGUUAAGUCCCGGAACGAGGGCAACCCUUUAUUUUCAGUAGCCAGCAUUUUUGGAUGGGGCACUCUGGGAGAGACUCGCCAGGGAUAACCUUGGAGAGAAAGGUGGGGAUAAACGUCAAAUCAUCAUGCCCCUUAUGAGCAGGGCUACACACGUGCUACAAUGGCGUAAACAAAGGGAAGCGAGCCUGCGAGGGUAAGCAAAUCUCAAAAAUAACGUCUCAGUUCGGAUUGUAGUCUGCAACUCGACUACAUGAAGCUGGAAUCGCUAGUAAUCGCGAAUCAGCAUGUCGCGGUGAAUACGCUCCCGGGUCUUGCACACACCGCCCGUC